AGAGUUUGAUCCUGGCUCAGAACGAACGCUGGCGGCGUGGAUUAGGCAUGCAAGUCGAACGAGAAGUCCCGACCCCAACUCUUCGGAGGAGGAGUCGGGAUGGAAAGUGGCGAAAGGGUGAGGAACACGUGGGUAAUUUACCCCUAAGUUGGGCAUAGCCUUCCGAAAGGAGGGAUAAUACCGAAUGUGGUCGUCUGCCGCAUGGCAGAUUAUCUAAAGGCGGGGAUCCUUCGGGACCUGCCGCUUGGGGAUGAGCCCGCGGCCUAUCAGCUUGUUGGUGAGGUAACGGCUCACCAAGGCGAAGACGGGUAGCUGGUCUGAGAGGAUGGUCAGCCACACUGGGACUGAGACACUGCCCAGACUCCUACGGGAGGCUGCAGUCGAGAAUCAUUCGCAAUGCACGAAAGUGCGACGAUGCGACGCCGCGUGCAGGAUGAAGGCCUUCGGGUUGUAAACUGCUGUCAUGGGGGAGAAACGGCCGGGGUGUUAAUACCGCCCCGGAUUGAUAGUACCCCAAGAGGAAGCCACGGCUAACUCUGUGCCAGCAGCCGCGGUAAUACAGAGGUGGCGAGCGUUGUUCGGAUUUACUGGGCGUAAAGGGUGCGUAGGCGGCUUUGUAUGUCGGAUGUGAAAGCUCCGGGCUCAACCCGGAAACGGCAUCCGAAACUGCGGAGCUAGAGUACUGGAGAGGAGAGCGGAAUUCUCGGUGUAGCGGUGAAAUGCGUAGAUAUCGAGAGGAACGCCGGUGGCGAAAGCGGCUCUCUGGACAGAUACUGACGCUGAGGCACGAAAGCUGGGGUAGCAAACAGGAUUAGAUACCCCGGUAGUCCCAGCCGUAAACGUUGUGCACUUGGUGUGGGGGGGAUUGUCCCCUUCCGCGCCGGAGCUAACGCGUUAAGUGCACCGCCUGGGGAGUACGGCCGCAAGGCUAAAACUCAAAGGAAUUGACGGGGGCCCGCACAAGCGGUGGAGCAUGUGGCUUAAUUCGAUGCAACGCGAAGAACCUUACCAGGGCUUGACAUGCCCGUCGUAUCCUCUUGAAAGGGAGGAGUCAGUUCGGCUGGACGGUGCACAGGUGCUGCAUGGCUGUCGUCAGCUCGUGCCGUGAGGUGUUGGGUUAAGUCCCGCAACGAGCGCAACCCCUGUGGUUAGUUGCCCCCUCCAACGAAAGGCGGAGAGCACUCUAACCAGACUGCCUGUGAUAAGCAGGAGGAAGGUGGGGACGACGUCAAGUCAGUAUGGUCCUUAUGCCCUGGGCUGCACACGUGCUACAAUGGGCGGUACAGAGGGAAGCAAAGCCGCAAGGUCGAGCAAAUCCCCAAAACCGCCCCCAGUUCGGAUCGGAGUCUGAAACUCGACUCCGUGAAGCCGGAAUCGCUAGUAAAGGCGUAUCAGCUACGGCGCCUUGAAUACGUUCCCGGGCCUUGUACACACCGCCCGUCACAUCACGAAAGUCGACUGCACCCGAAGUCGCUGAUCGAAUCCCGCCCUCGGGCGGGAUAGAAGGUGCCGAAGGUGUGGUUGAUGAUUGGGAUGAAGUCGUAACAAGGUAACC
rnacentral:rRNA from 1 species